GAUGAACGCUGGCGGCGUGCCUAACACAUGCAAGUCGAACGAAGCAACUCAAAGUUUUCGGACAGAGAGUUGACUGAGUGGCGGACGGGUGAGUAACGCGUGGGUAACCUGCCUCAUACAGGGGGAUAACAGUUAGAAAUGACUGCUAAUACCGCAUAAGCGCACAGCACCGCAUGAUGCAGUGUGAAAAGCCGAGACGGUAUGAGAUGGACCCGCGUCUGAUUAGCUAGUUGGUGGGGUAACGGCCCACCAAGGCGACGAUCAGUAGCCGACCUGAGAGGGUGACCGGCCACAUUGGGACUGAGACACGGCCCAG
rnacentral:rRNA from 1 species